GUUUUGAAAAAAGAAAGUUUUCUG
rnacentral:piRNA from 1 species